AUGCGAUCCCCAUUGCUGCAAUUAAACAAUACUGUCUAUAACCGCCGGCUUCGAGCAUGGUAGUAAAAUUAUGGUGCAGCAUUUGACAUUGAUAAGACAUGACAUUCUCAAGCAUUCCAAAGCAGUAACAACAGCAGCUAACAUAAAUGUACAAAUAUAUUUCACGUAACAAAUAUU